AGUUUCCUCUCUUUGUGUGCAGUUUGGCUGAUCCCAGCUGCAUUCUGAGGAUGGUAGCCAGUGUAUACAAGGAUGGAGAUGUGGCCGUUGGUACGUAGGUGGUUUGAAGAUGGAUGGACCGAGGCUCUACACAUCACCUUCCUGUCCUUCCCCCUGCACCCCCACAUCCCAGAGCGUCCAUAUUUCCUCUCUUCCCGCUGACUUUGUUUCCUUCAAAGGAGAGUCCCCUGACCUACCUUAUAUGAAGAACACGUGUGAAGGCAACUGUUCUAGACUACGGGUGGGAGCAUCAGUGCUUUGACAAUACCCAGAUGGUACAGCGGCUGCUACAAUUCAGGGGUAGGGAUGUUAAUAGAGUCCUGGCCUUCCCCGCUACUGGGUACCAACGACUUCUUGUGGUUUUCCUCCAUCCUGUCCACAACUCUGUGAGUAGCCUCUUUAUGGAAACUCUA